AUUGAACGCUGGCGGCAGGCCUAACACAUGCAAGUCGAACGAGUGGCGGACGGGUGAGUAAUGUCUGGGAAACUGCCCGGUGGCGGGGGAUAACUACCGGAAACGGGAGCUAAUACCGCAUACCAUCGGAUGUGCCCAGAUGGGAUUAGCUAGUAGGUGGGGUAAAGGCUCACCUAGGCGACGAUCCAUAGCUGGUCUGAGAGGAUGACCAGCCACACUGGAACUGAGACACGGUCCAGACUCCUACGGGAGGCAGCAGUGGGGAAUAUUGCACAAUGGGCGAAAGCCUGAUGCAGCCAUGCCGCGUGUAUGAAGAAGGCCUUCGGGUUGUAAAGUACUUUCAGCGGGGAGGCGUUACUCGCAGAAGAAGCACCGGCUAACUCCGUGCCAGCAGCCGCGGUAAUAC
rnacentral:rRNA from 1 species